rnacentral:siRNA from 1 species
AAGCUCCAUAAUACAAAAUAC